GACGAACGCUUGCGGCGUGCUUAACACAUGCAAGUCGAACGGAAAGGCCCUGCUUUUGUGGGGUGCUCGAGUGGCGAACGGGUGAGUAACACGUGAGUAACCUGCCCUUGACUUUGGGAUAACUUCAGGAAACUGGGGCUAAUACCGGAUAGGAGCUCCUGCUGCAUGGUGGGGGUUGGAAAGUUUCGGCGGUUGGGGAUGGACUCGCGGCUUAUCAGCUUGUUGGUGGGGUAGUGGCUUACCAAGGCUUUGACGGGUAGCCGGCCUGAGAGGGUGACCGGCCACAUUGGGACUGAGAUACGGCCCAGACUCCUACGGGAGGCAGCAGUGGGGAAUAUUGCACAAUGGGCGGAAGCCUGAUGCAGCAACGCCGCGUGCGGGAUGACGGCCUUCGGGUUGUAAACCGCUUUCGCCUGUGACGAAGCGUGAGUGACGGUAAUGGGUAAAGAAGCACCGGCUAACUACGUGCCAGCAGCCGCGGUGAUACGUAGGGUGCGAGCGUUGUCCGGAUUUAUUGGGCGUAAAGGGCUCGUAGGUGGUUGAUCGCGUCGGAAGUGUAAUCUUGGGGCUUAACCCUGAGCGUGCUUUCGAUACGGGUUGACUUGAGGAAGGUAGGGGAGAAUGGAAUUCCUGGUAGAGCGGUGGAAUGCGCAGAUAUCAGGAGGAACACCAGUGGCGAAGGCGGUUCUCUGGGCCUUUCCUGACGCUGAGGAGCGAAAGCGUGGGGAGCGAACAGGCUUAGAUACCCUGGUAGUCCACGCUGUAAACGGUGGGUACUAGGUGUGGGGUCCAUUCCACGGGUUCCGUGCCGUAGCUAACGCUUUAAGUACCCCGCCUGGGGAGUACGGCCGCAAGGCUAAAACUCAAAGGAAUUGACGGGGCCCCGCACAAGCGGCGGAGCAUGCGGAUUAAUUCGAUGCAACGCGUAGAACCUUACCUGGGUUUGACAUGGAUCGGGAGUGCUCAGAGAUGGGUGUGCCUCUUUUGGGGUCGGUUCACAGGUGGUGCAUGGCUGUCGUCAGCUCGUGUCGUGAGAUGUUGGGUUAAGUCCCGCAACGAGCGCAACCCUUGUUCACUGUUGCCAGCACGUUAUGGUGGGGACUCAGUGGAGACCGCCGGGGUCAACUCGGAGGAAGGUGGGGAUGACGUCAAGUCAUCAUGCCCCUUAUGUCCAGGGCUUCACGCAUGCUACAAUGGCUGGUACAGAGAGUGGCGAGCCUGUGAGGGUGAGCGAAUCUCGGAAAGCCGGUCUCAGUUCGGAUUGGGGUCUGCAACUCGACCUCAUGAAGUCGGAGUCGCUAGUAAUCGCAGAUCAGCAACGCUGCGGUGAAUACGUUCCCGGGGCU
rnacentral:rRNA from 1 species